rnacentral:tRNA from 1 species
GCCCCCAUCGUCUAGAGGCCCAGGACGCGGCCCUUUCAAGGCCACGACCGGAGUUUGAAUCUCCGUGGGGGCA